GAGAGAGCUUUGCUUUGCAGUACUUCUCUUUUUUAAAGAUUUCAACCCGCAGCCAUUGCCCUCCCCUACUCUGUUCUCAUUUUCGUUCUUUCGUACUACCACUGAAGUGAGUGGGAGAGGCAGAGGGCAGGUCAGUGUUCAACACCUUGAACAUGCCAUUCGAUUCGCUUUAGACACACCCUUGGAUUAUUUUUUAUUUUUUUUUUACUCCCGUCAACAUAAUCUUUCUCUUUUUUUUAAGAUAAUUUCUUUUUUAUCUAAUUUUUCCAACAUUUUCAUGAAUGUUUUGCUCCAUAGCCAUGGAGUUUGACAUGAAACCACUGAACGUUUAAGGUUUAGAUGCCCCAGACGCAGCUGGAGCGAGAAGCCUCCUCCAUCACGCAGUACCGUUGCUCUGAGUCCUCCGCCACCCUGUCAGUCAUCUGGAGAAAAAAAAAGUCAGCAGCGUGCAGGACCAAAAAAGGGAACUCUGUUUUUACCUAACAGUGCUUCUCAUUGUGUGAAAGCAGCAGAUUACCUCAGCAGUGUUCCUGCUUCAGACUGCUUCCUGUGCCGAGGGGUGUGGUGUGGAGCAAAGCGUCCGGGGAGUGCGUGGAGGGGUAGGAACCCUCUGCCUGUCAGCCCGUGUCCUACCCUCUCUCUCUCCCUACAACACCAUGACCACUGCGGUCCAGUCCAGCGAGCUUGUCUUUGAGUUCGCCAGCAAUGGGAUGGAUGAAAUCAAUCAGCUGGACGACCCUUCAGUGUUCCCGGCGGUGAUUGUGGAGCAGGUGCCCGCUGCCGACCUCAUGCAGGUGUACUCUGGACUGGAGGCAGAUGAGGUGACUAAUGGCAUCAUGGUAGACGCUAUUCAGGAUGUGGUGGAAGAGAACAUCAUGGGAGAUGUGGGGCUCUCUGUAGAGACCCCUGUCUCAGGCGGAGAGGACAAUAUGGAGACCAUCGAGGCGGCUGAGGCCCUGCUGAACAUGGAAUCUCCCAAUAACAUCCUGGAUGAGAAACGCAUGAUUCACACAUAUGGGACUAUGCUGGAAUCAGACCUGACCUACAUUUCUCUGCGUCCAGAGCAGCUCUCAAAUGGCUGCAUGGAUGGUCCCCUGGAUGAGGACACGUCCUCUGUGGAUGAAAUCCCUCAAAAGAACCUUUCCAAGCCUGUCAGGAAAAGCAAAGUGCGCAAACCGAGACCAGUACGGCCCUGCUCUCCCAUCACCAAUCCAAGUCUCCCGCUUAAGAAGAAGAGCAAAGAGGGCAAAGGUAACACUAUCUACCUGUGGGAGUUCCUCCUGGCCUUGCUGCAAGACAAAAACACCUGUCCCAAAUACAUCAAAUGGACGCAGAGAGAGAAGGGCAUUUUUAAGCUGGUGGACUCCAAGGCUGUUUCCAAGUUGUGGGGCAAGCACAAAAACAAGCCUGAUAUGAACUACGAAACCAUGGGCAGAGCGCUCAGGUACUAUUACCAGAGGGGUAUACUGGCGAAGGUUGAAGGACAGAGGCUUGUUUACCAGUUUAAGGAGAUGCCCUCAGAUCUGGUUAUUAUUGAUGAGGACGAUAGCCAAGGGGACGACGCUAGUUCUGGCUAUGGAGGGCACAGGUCUGCUCCUCAUGGACGGGCAAUGGGCCGCGGUUCAUCGCGUGCGCAGGGGAAGAGCGCGCAGGUAAAGUCAGUGAAGAGAGAGAUGAGUCCCGGUCUGAACAGCAAUGGAAAACAAGCAGAACAGCUGCUGCAAACCGUCCAUGUUCUUCAGCCAAAUCAAGGAGCUGCUGUCCCAGCACCUACACACUCCUUAAGGACUAUAAAUAUGCCAGGCUCAGUUCCUAUGGUCCUCACGUCAGGAGCUCAAGGAGGAGGUUCAGUCACCCUGCAGACCCUUCCGCUGUCUUCUGUUCUGACCAAUGGGGAUUCCUCCACUCAUACCUCACCGCCUCGGGUCAUUCUCCACACUGUGCCUUCCUCCAGCCCCGGGGGUAAAGAUGUGCUCACCAUCCAGACUGCCUCUCUGACGACAGACAGCAUCCAGCACCAGCAGCUCCUCAUGUCCACUCUGGCCUCAUCCAGUGGAGGGGUCACCACACCACAGCAAGCUGGGUCUCUUAACGGCAUCACCCGCUUGGUCACCCUCAAUGCCAACGGGCAGCCCGUAGUGGCCCAGCAGCCUGGAACGGUCAUCGCCACUGUCCUGAAGCCCAGUGAAGUUCAAGGCCUGCAGGUGAAGGAGGAGAUCCUAGACCCACAUUACCUCCAGUCUCUGGUCAACAGCAACCCUAGCCUGGCCUCAUUCUGCAAAGAGGAGCUCGAGGAAGGAGUGGCGGAGCUGAGCUACAGAACUGUGAUCAUCAACAGUGCAGGACAGGAGCUGGGCCACACCCUCAACGGACACUCAGACGUGGGCUCGCAGCUGGCCAGCAGCCCCAGUGAGGGCCUCACCCCUGUGGAAGAGCUGGAAGUGAGGGGAGAAGUGGCUCUGCAUCCAGAGCCUGCGGACAAAGAGCUGUUGGAGGGCUCUCAAGGUCUGCAGGAACUGCCGGUCACCAUGCAGAUACCUGCCUCCCACUUUAUCCAGGUAAAAGCGGAGCCGGCUGAGACCUAAACUAUCGGCUCGAGUAGGGGAAUGUGGACACAAUCAACCAACAAUGAAAAAAAAAAAAUACAGGAUUUUUUUCAGAAGAGCAGAUGAUCUGUAAUUUAUUGCUCUUGAUUGUUUAGAGUGGGCGUUCACCCGAAGACUUGUUUACUCAAAGUUAUUGUGAUAUUGUGCCUAAAUUUGAACCUUAAGGGAUACCGACCACAAUGAAAGCUCUUUGGUUUGCUCUCCGUCAACCCCAAAUGCCCAACAGGAGAGCAGCCAUUCUCCAACCAGGGAUAUUCCCACCAUAUGUGCCAGUUGAGAUGUUUCUGUCUCUUCUCAUCUCCACAGACAAAUCCAAAGACUUGAUCCAUCAGAGGGACCAAAGGAAGAGUUGGUGAGAAGCCAAAAUGAAACCAACAACACACCAUUGACUUUAGGAUUAAAACACACACACACACACACAGUUGCCUGGGACAUACAAGAUGGAGAAGCAUUUGUUUUGUUUUUUCUUAUGUAGCCAUCUCAGUGGACUUCAAACGGAUGCCUAUUGAAAUAAGACUGAAAGAGUGCCUAGGUGGUUAAUGCUUUGUUUUGGAAGUGAUGCUUUGAAGGGGAAGAUUGUAUGAUUCACUCUGUUUUUAAUACAGAAUUAUGACAUUAUCUCAUCCCCUUUAUACCGGCAGAUCAGGCGAGGUUAUUAUUUUUCCAUCACAAAUUUAAAAGCACUGUGCUUUUAUGGAAAUGGGCAUUGCCUGUCUAAGGACACAGUUCCAGUAGAUCUUGUUUGUAUAUAGUAACAGACUAAAGAAUAUAGUGACAAAUUCCAAAAUCAUCUGUUAAAGUAUUUCCCCAUUAUAAUCUUGUUCAUAUGAAAUGGCACGCAGUAUAUAUAUAAAUAUAUAUAUAAUAUACAACUGAGAUUCAUUUUAUGGCCACAAAUUUAUUUAUUUUCUGAAUUUCUAAAUUCUGUACAAAAAGUCUUUUUUUAAACAAAUGCAAAAAUGAGGGAAAAUAUGCAGUAUGUAGGGCUAAUUUUACCCAUAAGAAUCCAGUAUGUGUGUUUAUUGCAAGCUGUAUUUUUCCAAUUUAAAGCGUUCCAUGUAAUCCGCACACCUUUCAUAUUUUAUCUAUUUUUCAAUAUAAGGGGAUCCGAACGUAGCUUUAUGAGAUUGAGCUAUCAUGCUGUUCUUAUUCACUGUGAUGUUUAAAGCCAUUUUUACUGAGCAUACAUGCUAUAAAUGCGAUGUCCUUUGGUUUCUGCCUUUACGCUGUCAUACUUUUACCCUGUAUCAACCACAUAUCAUUCGAUUGAUGCCUUACACGUCUGUUUUUCAGAUCACAGCUGAUGUAGUCUGUGACAUUUAGGUUGAUUUUUAAAAUGUAUUUAUUUGUAGCUGUUGUAGUCAGGUCUGUCCGUGGCCUCCAUUCCUUCUUCGCCUCAUUUAUAUCCAAUGAAUCCAGAGCAGAGCCUCUUAAUAGCAGCAUCUCCACAAGUAAACAGAGUGGAAGUUGUAGCCAUGUUGAUCCGAAACUAAAUUUGUGCUAAAUUGGAAGAAGUGACUGAAGUUGUUGAGGGUAAAUGUGGACUGGGCUCCCGGAAGGCUAGAUGCUGAUCAUGGGCAUCAGGCCUCAGCCUCUAAUUCUGUUUGACUAACACCAGAGUUCUGGUGCUGCUCUGACAAUCGUGUGGCUACACCUUGUAUUAUGCAAGAUUACGUCAAUAAGAUAAUUGGUCUUGUUGACCGCAGACUUUAUGCUUUGUAGUUGUGGGGUAAAGGUAUGCCAGUGCUCCUCCUAUAAUUUCAGCUUGCCUUUUCUUGGGGCUUUCUUAUUUUUCCAAUUGUCUUAUAGUAGACUAGAUUUUGUUUUCUAAAAAAAAAUGAAAAAAAGAGAGAGAACCAAAAGAGAAUAAAUAUAUAAUAAAAACCAAUUUUGCCUUAACAUAAACGUGUGAUCUCCUGUUCCCUUUUUGCUGUGGAAAUUAAAACUGACGAUCACAGACUGACUGGGUACUGGUUAAACAACACAAAGCCCAUAAGGCAGAUGCUAUCAUUGUUCCGACGUAUUAAAACAAGUACACCUCCCGGUGCAUCUCCUCAAGCGUUUCUUCUGUUAACGUGAAUUAACAGAGGUCACAUGCACUCCCAGGUAUCUCGCACAUCUUGCUGUGAAUCGAGGCUGCUGUGGGAAGCUCGGUUUCCAGCCAUAUGUGCUCUUAUUCAGCUUGUCUGCUCCUUCUGGAGAUUACAGAAUGUCACGGCAACUUCGGCAAGGAUGGAGUGAGUGCAAUCUGUUAACUACAGGAAGCAAAGCGCCUAAGAGUUACUGAACAAUCAGACAUGGGAAGCUAAAUCAUGCCUUCGUUUGGGUGGGUGAAAAAGAACAUUAACAUUUUUAAACGUCAUAAAAAAGUUUCUGAUUCCGUUUCAAACCCGUAUGUGCUUGUGUGUGGAACACAUUUUCUGUACAAUUACAAUUCUUAGUGACUGUUAAACUCCAAAAUGUCUCUAUAGGACUAUGGCACAGAUUUCAUAGACUUCAUUGCAUUGUCCAUUUCAUGGACUACUUAUAUGGUGGAAAAGAGCUGCUUGGCGAGUCUUCAAAAUUGUCCUUUUGUGACAUCACAGAUUUGAACACAGACAUGAAGUUGUGUAAAUGAUGAAAUUCUCAUUUUACUAUUCAGCAAAUCCACCCUCAAAUAUUUUAUGUAAGCAUUUUUUCUGCUGUCUCGUGGACAAAUAAUCUUUAAACAACUAACACAGACUGCAAGAGAACACAAAAUGGUUUUCACUCUGGCAGCUCUGUGUGUGCCGGACUUGUGGUGAGGAUAGAAAUGAUUGUGUGUGUGAUUACUCAGUGGUAUGGGUUUGGAGAUGCUUUCUGUGGUCUUAUACGGUGGUGUGUGUGUAUGUGUGUGCGUCUGCUGAUGGAGCCAUCUGGCAGCUGGUACAUGCUGGAGCUCUUACCCCCAAGUCUACUAUUCACACACAGCUGUAGAUUACCCAGCACUCUGAACCCUACAGAAACACUGAAAAAAUAAUACAAUAACAUCAAGAAAAACACAAUAUCAAAGGUGUUCAAGGCAACUGUAGUAUGGACGGAGCAAAAUGGCAACUGAAAGUGGUUGUUAAAACGAUUUGCAGUGUUAGUGUGUCCUGUGAAAAUGGGAAGAUAUUUUAUCACACCACUACAAAUGUUAUGUGAAUUGAAGUAGAUAAUACAGUUAUAGCUAUGAACUUUUCCAUUUCCAAGAUAAAGAAUUUAGGUUUCAAUUCAAAUAUAGAGGAAGGGGUGACCGGUAUACAUUUUUUAGUACAGUGAAACUGUCUCAUGUUGGAUAUUUUUUUAUAUUCAAUUUCUGUAUAGGAACUUUUAAGUUUUCACAAUGGGAGCAUGUCAAUAAUCAGUCUAUUAUUGACCCCCACAUACACGCAAAAACAGCAAAAAAUGUAAAAGGUAAUUUAAAAAGUGUCAAGUAUUUAGUGACCUCCAAAUACACUUGAGCAAUAGCAGGAACCUGGCUCUCUUAAACCUAAAUUGAAUGGAAAAGGACUGGAAGGCCAAGAAAACUUUCAAAAUAUAAUGAGAUGUUUCUCAGAUUUUCUUCUUUAAGAAAAUGGAAGAAGUCCAGGAGGUCACACUAAAUACUGAUUUUUGCUUAAAGAAGCCAUUCUGUCUUGUGACAAAGACCAAAAAAUAAAUAUGGAUGGUCAUUAAAACUUUGCUAAAACAACAAAGCUGGUGAAAACUUUUGCACAGUACUGUAUGUCAAUGUGGUUUUAUUGUGUUCAGCUAUAGAAAAUAUGAUGAUGCAAUUAUUGGUUGGGAGAAUUUAAUUCACAAAAAUAUUAUGCAGACAGUUUUGAAUUAGAUGUUUAAAACCAAAAUCACUGAUAGAGAAAGCACAUCAUCCAAAAGUCAAAAUCACAGUAACGUAAUGAGAUAAUGAACAGCCCUUGUGACAACUAGCCCCAGUCUUCCCUCUAAUGUGCAUUUUAGGUGCUGUAACUGAUCAUCAUUUCAGGAUUUUCACCAUUUCACUCACCUUUUUGCAGAUCACUUAAGUGUGACAAAUACAUUUUAAAAGUAAUACUCUUUGUAGUCUCUCAUUUAAUAUUGUAAUAUUUGGAUGUUUAAUACUAAUUAUCCAAGAAUAAGAAAAUGUUGUUUAACAUAAAUAUGAAGUAUAGCAGCAUGUCAUACUGCAGGAAAUACAUGUAGCUGUCUUGUCGACUCCCCAUUGGUAAUCAUAAAGCAUUAAAACGGCUAAACAGGACAGCUUGCAGUGAUCAGUGUUUCAUUGCUGAAUGUCAAACAGGAUCUAUGACUAACCAUAAGCUUCUCAAACGAUAUAACCCCUGUAUAGUUAAAAAAAAAUUAUAUUGAAAUUAAAGCUGUAUUUCCAGACAGCUGUGGUUCACCAGUGUCAAACCGCAUCUUUACAUCAACACAGCUGCACAAAAUCAGCUCAAGGAACAUUCUAUUUUUAAAGCAAGACGACAAGUAGCUGGGGGCCAAUGACAUGCUUGAAGAGAGCGAGUGUUUAUUGCAUCACAGUGUCUCUCUAGUGAGGAGUGGCGGGACGGCUGAGGGAUGGCGGUCAUUAGAAAUGUGCCUCCAGUCAGGGGCUGCGCUAAGAUUACUCACACACCAGGAUACUGCAUACACACACACACACACACACACACACACACACACACACACAAAGACUAAACAAUGCUUUCGUUCUGUUUCUGAACUAAGACUAAUGACAUCCACUCCAAUUUACGUCCUUUGUUCAUCACUUUAUAUUUACAUCAAAUUUUUAAAGCAGCAGUCUCACAGCAGGAAUUUAUAGAAGCUAAAAGCAAUACUCUUACAGCUAUUAAACUUCUCACCCUGCAUCCUUCAACUGCCUGAAUUGAUAAAAUUCUUCCAUUGACAAAUGAAACAAUAACCAUGAUUUUUUUUAUUUCCCAGGUCAUAAGCAUAGAGUCGAGGUUUGGAUGAUUAUUAUGACCCCAUUAGCCCCUCUUUGUUGUUGCUAUCUACAUCAUCUGACUGAAAACGGAUCUUUCUCCAUUGAUGGCAAUUCAGAAAUAUCUGGAUAUUCUUUCUGACUACAUAUAAAUUAACUGAUCAUCUCUUUCUCUUUACUACUAGUUUUAGCAAGAAAUAAAUGAACAUUACUGUAUCAUGUAAUCGCUCAAUCAGUGUUGCAACCACAAAAAGACGUCAAUAAAACAUUAUGUUUACAUGGUAUAAUGACUGGUACUGUGUUUUUGUUAGGUAAAAGAAAAUAUAAAAUUUGUUAGGUUAAAAAGAAGAUAUUGUGAAGACUUUAGCCAUGACUUCCAUAGUAGGGGGGAAACAAAUACUACGGAAGUCAGUGGGGCCCAUCAACUGUUUGGUUACCGACAUUAUUCACAGGGGAAAGAAACUCAUACAGGUUUGGAACAACUUAAGGGUGAGUAAAUGAUGACAAUUCUCAUUUUUGGGUGAACUAUCCCUUUAAAUUCAUUUGAUUCACAUGCAUUAUUAGUCACAUAUUUUCUUUCAGCUGCUUUCCCAACUCUUGCUACAACAGUGUUUAUUCCUGCCUUGUAAAUACGUGAAUUGCACCGUCUUUCUCGCGAGAAGUAGCCUAAAUCAAACUGAAUCUCUCCAUGUUCUGUGUGAUUGGCUGUUUGCUGCACAUGACACACUUUAGGGCUUUUCACACUUGAAAUAGUUAACCCUGGGUCAUUCUAAACCCCGGGUAAAAGGAAUCCUGGAUUAUCUUGCUUCACAUUUCACACUGGGAAUUCAUAAACUGACGUUUCACGUUGUACAUUCCUAAACCCUGGGUUAGCGUUCUUAUUUGCAUAUUUGCGGUGUCGGUGUGGUUGAUUGGAUAAACACAGCACGCGACCUGUUUGCAUAAACCUUAUUGCGCAUCCUCGUAUUGCCGACUGUAUAUCGAGUUUAUACUGAAUGGACAUUUGUUACUAUAAAGAGCUAUCGUAUGACUUCAGAAGUCUUGGCAUUGUCACAUGGAUCACUUUUAUGAUGGUUUUGUGGUGCUUUUGGUCCAUUUUGGAGAUUGACAGCCCUGGUCCUCAUCCACCUUUAAGGUAAAGAAGCAAGCUGCACAAGGUUUUGAACAACACGAGGGUGUGCAAAUAGAUGUUAUGAAUUAUGGUUUAAAACUACAUGCUAAAUUAAUUUGAUUAAAUGUAAUAAUAAUGUUGUCGUUGUUGUUUUUUGCAACAUUUAACUGUAACCUUAAUGGUUAAGACUGAAAGAGUCAUUUUGACAAUUGCUGCUCUUUUACCCACUAUACAAUACGUAUACCGUAUAGGCCACUUCCUUUAGCAUCGCAUCAAGAUAAUUGCUGGUGUCUCAUAUGAUUUCAGGUAUUGUGAUAAAAGAAACAGGAUCCAAUAUAAUAAGCUUUCUGUGGGGUAUUUUGAGUUUGUGCUUUGAUCAUUUACCUCAGGCUUCAAGUGAAUUAGAUCUUAGUAUCUGCAGACGAAAGAAGUGUUUUGAGGAAAGAUACAGCUGAUGAAGAUCACAUUUAGACAACUGACCAUGGAAGCGAAAAGAGAUAAACAUCAAGGUGAGUUUUAACUUCCUCCAUCUUUGAUUUGUGGCUUUGCGUGGUUGUUUGUCACAGAUCUGGCAUCUUUUGUUUCAAGAUGAAAGCCGUAAGUUUUGUUCUUUUGUUGGAUUCUCAGAAAAGAUGCAUUUUGCAUGCUUUCAAUGUAAUGUCUUUUAUUUAUAAUAAUUUAAAAUAAUGUACUGUGUCUGUUAUUAGAUCUUAUAUAGCUCAGUCAUGUAGUUGGUCUUAUCGGAGUUCAGCUAUGAUGCUAACAAUGUCCAGGUCAUUGAGUUUGAUUCUCAAAGAGCACAAACUAAGAAAUAUGAAGGCAUACAUUUAAUGCACUGUAAAUAGAUUUGAAUAACAAUUGUGUCAGUGUCCCUCACUAAAAUUAUCAGCAUGUUGUAUUUCACAGUGCCUUUUUAUGUCCCUUAGCAUGUUUAUUCGCUGCAGUAAAUUAGUAGCAGACACUGAAACUUUUGCCAGUUUUAUUCAGAAGGAAGUUGUUUGAAAAAUACAAAGGAGCAUUAGUUUAUGUAAAUGCAAUUUAUAGAGCACCCAUUUGCUUGGA